ACAAAUUAGGAUUUAAAAAAAUAAAAGCCUACCUAUUUCAGUCUAGACAUGCAUUUCACAAUACGUACAUGUUAUGUAUACAUUCAAUCAUCAAUCAUACAUAUCUGAUGUAGAUAAUUAACACACGCACGCACGUGGGCACACACACACACACAAUAUAUGCCACGCGUCUACGUCAUCGGCAUCGGAGCUUCCACAAGGUCGUGUUGAUGUCGUCGUCGUCGUCGCCGCCGCAGCACCAUGACGAUGUCGUCGUCUUGGUCGCCACCGUAGCCCUGUGUUGAUGUCGAUGUUGUCGUAAUCAUCGUCGCCGCAGCCCCAUGUCGAUAUCACCUUCGUCGCCGCCAUAGCUUCAUGUCCAUGUGUUCCCUACUAGGAACUCACAAAUCCUGGAAUUAAACAAUGAACCAAGACCACUCCUAGGAACUCAAAAGAACCUGGAGCUUUAGUACAGUAUAACAGUAACCUAUAGAGCACUAAGUAACAAUAGCAUAGUAUAUAGUAGCCAUGCCCACGCGGCAACACGCCGCGCCCUUCGAUACAUUAUGUGUACAUAUGCUAUUUUUAUAUGGUGAUGAAAAAUAAUUUUUUAUGAGCAUAAUUUUGUGGUCAUAACUUUGUAUAAAAAAAAGCAAGGCAUUAUCAGAAACAAAUUGAAAAGAAUAUAUUUAUCAUCACCAUGAGUGCUACAUCUUGCAAGAACAAAAGGCAACCUUCUCAAGCUUUUCCUUAUAUUGAACUCAAUGCACAAGUUUCUCCCAAACCAUGAAUCCUGCAACAUAUUUGAUAUUACUCCUUCAAAACACUAUGUGAUCAGCUUACAGUCCUUACUGAAUCUAUUAGAUUGCCGGAGACCGGAGCAUGUUCCUUUUCUUGCCCCAGCCCAGAUAAUUUGAUCUUGGAAUCCUGUUUAAAAGCAGGAAUCAUACUUAUGCUUCUCAAGGUGAAUAAAAACAAUAAUCAAGCUGAAGAAGGAAUGAAACAACACUUAUGUACCACAAGUACAAUAACUGGAGACUAAGUUGUUGUUUAACAUUGGAAAAAAGUGAGAAAAUAUCUGUCAAAAAAACAACCCACAACUUAAUAAGCAGUGAAGUAUGUCUCUAGAAAGAGUCCAUACCACCACACUUACAGGCCUCUGUUCUUCAUUCUGCAUAGAGAAGUCACAAACAUGCAAUUGAUUAUCACAUUAACGUGUAACUGCAAUACGUUGAGACAACCUGAUACAGCAAACUCAUAUACUUGGUAAUAAUAAAAAUAUAUAAAAAUCUGACAGAGCAAAAUUUAGUACAGGUAGCACCACCUGUAUUUAGUACAGGUAGCUUGCCUGCUAAUUUACCGUACGAAUGCACUGAACUUUGAUUCUGUGGAAUUGUCUUCUUCUCUAAUUACCAAAACUGUUGGUCAACUGCUACUAAAUGGUCAAUAAUAUCGUAUGGCUGGAUGAGUCAUCUCUCACCUAAGAUGGACUCAUUUGUGAGAUACUCCUGAGAACCUGAGUGAACAGAGCUACAUGCUUUGAUCUUGGAUGUGGACUCCAAGUAUAUUGAUUAAGAAGGUGAAUAAGGCUCAGUGUUUGUUGCUUGUAAUGCUAUACAGAUAGAGGACCAUCCAAAAAGACUAAGCUAUCAAAAUGUUCCAAUGCUCGCCUUAACUUCACUACCAGUUGUUGAAAUAAUAAAAAUAGUAACCAUAGAAACAAAGUUUGAUGAAUAAAACUGUAGGACUGCAGCAUUGUAGUUGGUAUUAUCUUUUUGCAGUAAGGCCUUACUAGGAAGCUGAUAUAUUGUAGACCAAAAUACACUUGCCGUUAGAAAUAAUGCUAUAUGAGAAGAUACAUUUUAUACCUGAACUAUCAGCGACAUGAUCCUUCAUUCCCGGUCACGAGUAGUAGAUGGACCGGAACCGACUGCUCCAAGCUAUCAACGACACGAGAAUCACAAUCACGCGGACUGCUGCAACAUAUGCGUCAAUAGAAAAUUUAUACCUGAACUAAACUCAACUUGAGUAGCACUACAAUGAACGAAAAUUGAACUUGGCAUUACUGAAAUAAUUGUGCAUCUAUCUGCUAACAUCUAAUUUGUUUGUCAUACACUAGUACUACACUGAUAUCCCAAAGCCUACACUAGUACUACACUUAACUAAAACUGAACUUGGCUGUUGCACUUAC
rnacentral:lncRNA from 1 species